UCCCCCAUUUUCUUCCCAAGACUCAGCAUCCUUGCUCUCCUUCCCAGUUUCUUUCCCUUUGAAUCAUCGUCUUCGCUUGAAACUACUGACCAAGAUGGUGAUGACUGAACAAAAGUGCUGCCUCUUGAGUUCGUCUCCUGCUUUUCGCUGCUGCUGGGUAGCAGCAAUGGGGUUUUCAGUUCUUCCAGAGAUUUGUCACUCUCUACUGUUUCAGGUCUGGAGGAACUUGACACUGCGGUAGACAUAACCUCUGCUUCUGUAUUCGGUUUCUGGACGGCAUUGGCAGCUUCAUGCACUUGAUCAGACUGAGCACAGGAGGAAGAAGACACAGUCUCCGCUUCAGAAAUAACCGGCUUCGUAGAUGGCUUGUCAGAUUUAGACUUCCCCUCUGUUGCCUGGUGAUCGCUUUCUUGAUUCAGCCACAUGAAUGGAGCGGCUUUGCGUUGAACCCAAUCGUCUUUUUCAGCAAUCAUCCACGGAACCGUUAGGCUUUCACAGUUUGGAAGAACCACUGCUUCUCUUAUUGCCGUCUGCAAGAAUCAUAAUGUUAUCUCACAUUCUGUUAGCUCAAAUUUCACUAGAUACCAAACAAAAGAGAACCCAAAGGAGAAGGUGUGCCUACCUUAAACCGGUUGAUCAAGAACAUAGCAACAUGGCUGUUGGUGAUUUUGUGUUCCCCAACAGAAGAUGCGAGAUCGAAUUGUACAUCGGGCAUGCUCGUGAAUCCAAACCAUAGUUGAUCAGAAGGAGGCGGCUUCAUGUGUACACGCAGUGUCCCUCUAAGAGAAGAAAUCCGUAUUGACAAAGAGAUUGGUACCUGCAAUUGAGAAACAGAUAAAAUCUAAGAUCCCACACUGAGGAAAAGUUACAAAAAAUCCAACAAAACAGAACAAAAAAUCAUCUUGUAGAUAUUUAAAAAAAAAAAAAAAAGAGAAGAGGAGAACCAACCUGGGAAACUUGCUCAGCAAUAUUUUUUAGAAUAGACUUCCACCUGGAUACACCAUUUGGAGAAGCUUUGGUUCCUUUUGAGCCAUUGGAUUCAUCUGAAAGCAACAAAAAGAGGGUAAGAACAAUUGUAAUCAUCAUCCUGAGCAAUACUUUUGAACAUGCAUUACGCUAGCAAGAACUCGGUAGGUGAAACGAGAGGUGACUGCAGUAAUCAAUAUUCAGUAAACAUUGAACUUGCUUGUUUUUACCAUUUUUCACUUCUCCUGCAUCAACAGGGAUGACUAAUUGCUUUUCAAAAUCUUCAACACCGUUUGACGAGACUUCUUCCCCAGCAGAACUUGGCUGUAGCCUUGUGUCGUUUAUGCCUUUUUGAAGAUCCACCUCCCGGAUAUUAACCCGUGUUUCAACGUCAAUCACCGGUUCACCAGAGUAUUCAAUAUCUACCUCGAACGCCCACACACCACUCAUCUCCAUUGGAAGAACCCGAGUACCAUGUAUAUGAGGUGGGAGAUUACCAAGGUCAACAUCGGAGCAGAUUAGUUCUCCUAUGUAACUCGGAGUCCUCAUGUUGGAUAACAUCCUCUGUUUAAAAACCACAAAGACGUAAGGAAAUCAAUUCAUCUCAAAUUUUUGAGUUCAUGAAAGCAUGCAGACCUGGAUUCGCGCUUGCAUUGAGUCCUUCACUCCUGUUUUCCGUAUGAGAUCGAAGAAAAGCCUGGAGAUUAGCAAGUUCCACGCCAAUGUUCCUUCAUCAAUGUCAAACUUCUCUUCAGAGUCUCCAUCCGAAACCCCGGAGAAAUGACUUGUAUGGCUCACGGAACGUGAAAAGACAGGCGCAUCAGCUUCAUCUCUGACAUCAUCUCCCACCCUCUUCCCUGGAACGCUGCUUCCAUUUUGUGAAUCUUGGUAAGAGCGCACAGAGGUUCUCCUCUCUUCACGAUUUGAUCGCUUUCUUGAAAACCUCCUCAAGAACAAACGAACUUUGGAGGAAGAGCCGUCCGUUCUGUUCCCUCUGUCAAUCGUCUCAAAACUAAACCCAAGAGACGGUUUCAUAAACGAAGGAUACGCAGCGUUGAGAGACGUGACGUAACUACGGAAGUCUUGUUGUAACUUGGUGGAGUACCAAAUAAACCUUUCCGGAUUCUCGCAAGAAGCAAGACGAAGAGCUUUACACCAUGAUUCCUUUUCACAAGAAGUCUCGAGAUAGAUGUAAAACACCUUGUUUCCUUUGUAUACGUCUGAGGAACUCUUGGUUUCGACUUUUAUAGGAAACCUUUUGGCCCUGACAAAAGAACAAUCAAGCUUCAAUAUAUUCCACCAAAGCUUCACAAUUCAAAUUGAUGUAUUGUAUGGAUAAGAGUUGGUGGUACCAUUUUCUUGUAGGGAGAUCAGAGCCUGAAACAGCCUCCACAGAGCAGCAUUUUAAUGAAACAGUAGUGAGAGUGCCGUCAGACUCUGACAAGAUGAGUUUGUGGUCUUUGAUCCGAGCGAAUUUGCGAGUUGGAUGAAUCUCCAAGAAAGCUCUCUUCCUCUUCUGCUCUGCUGGUAACUUCUCCUUCCACAUGUUCUUGAGACCUUCAUCCAACUCCAAAACCCAGAUCGUUCCCUGGAAAAUAUUAAAAACUUUCAUUACAGCAAAACAAGACCGAACAGAAACUGUCUGGUUCUAAUGAUCCAAAAACUCAAAAUUCACGGUCUCAUCCGAAACAGUUGACUUGAACUCAACAACUCGCAAGUAACGCAACAUGCAAACAUUCGGAGAUUAGAACCUAGAGUUUAGAGGAUUAAUCGAGGAAUUAAAGAUCGAUCACCUGUUUGUUGGAUUCUCGAGGAUUGCUGAUCUCCUUGGUAGAUUGAUCGGAACCGGGUUUUGAAUCAACCCGGUUAUCUCUCUUCCGGUUCAAUCGGUUCAGAAGAUACAUCAAACCAGCAGCUUCAGCCCCCAAGACGGCGACAAUUCCCAGGAAGAACCCGGAGAGGAACACGAAACUCGUGAAGGAAAACAUAUCCUCCGGGGAAGCUGGAAAGGCUUCAAUGAGAUGAAGGUUUCUUGUGAGGGAAUCAAGAGGAGGAGAAGAUUCGUGGCGUCGGGGUUGUUCAUGUCAGUGUGCAAUAACAAGGACAAUGCCAAAAGAUAGGAAGAGGAGAAGAUACUGUGGGAUUAGUCAUCUCUCUCUCUCUCUCUCUCUCUGGAAACGUAAUUCUCAACUUCCAACCAAUACUAAUUUGACGAAUCAGAAACAUAUUUAAUCUCUUAAGUUAAUUAAUAAUAACUUCUUCUUUUUUUGUCAUCAAGUUAAUUAAUAAUAACUAGUUGAUAUACUAUACUUAAUAUUUAAAAAGUCACGACCAAGUGUUUUUAGAAUUAAAAUUUCAUAAGAAGUAGAUAAAUAUAUUUUAAACUUCAGGUGCAAAAAAAAAAAACUGUUUCAUUGGUCAAAAUAUAUAAAAUAAAACAUGUUUUAUCAAGUAAGAAACUAUGAUUAUAUAGUAGGCUUGAGAGUUCUUAACUCAACCCGAAGUACCGACCUUAACCCGAACCGGAAAAACCGAAACCGAAUCUGAAUCUAAACUUAGCCAUACUAUGCACCUCAUGCCCAACAGGAUUAUACAAGAUGGCAUUGUUGAAAGUAAGUCUAACAUCUUCAGCAAACUCCAACGGCGACUCAUACAAACCUUCCCCUAACUUAGCCUUCACUGUACCCAAAUCCAUAGGCUCUUUAACAAUGGUGUGGUAAUCAUGCAAACCAAACCCUUUGGCAUCAACGGGCACAUUGAACACCCAUCCAUCCUUAUGCUUCAUCAACUUCGUCAGCAAAUUGAGACAUUUCUUGAAAAUCUGAACCGUACCUUUAUCACCUCUCUUAACUCCAUUCCCAGUUUUCAGCUUCUUGUUUCCCCCUUUACCCAUGGACCCGGUUGUAAAGUUUCCGCCUUGGGGAUCGAACUGUGCGAUCAAGCUCCGAACUUCGUCUAGCUCAGCUGUUAGUCUCCGCUUCAAGCUCCUGACUUCAAGCUUCGAAAUUGAGCUCAAGCUAACCUUCAACAUGGGAGGAUGAUCUUCCUCCUCCGACGCGAACGGGUUUGACGGAGAGAGGAGAGCAGCCGAUCGCGCGUGUUGAGGAACCACCAUCGGCUUGGUCCGCCUGUGCUUCGUCGUCUUCGAAGCUCCACCUCCUGAAGACAUUUCUAGGUUUAGCUCGGAGGACCGUGAUUGAGGGGAUUCAAGGUCGAUGAAAUCGAAAUCGAAAUCGAAAGAGAAGGUUUGAAUCUACAUGAAGAUCGGUUCUCGAUUUUGCAAUUUACGAAAACCCUAGGGAAGCAAGCAAAUACUGUGGCAACAAUAGCUCACGCGCUUGAAACUCACGCGCCAUUACCAAUUUUUUACUACUAUAUAAUAAAUCCUUUGUUUUCUGAAUGAUACUUACUUGCAAUCAACAAUUGAUAGUUUGAUAAUAAUACCUUUCCAACACUAGCAGUUUAUACACUGUAGUGUUCAAGUACGAUGGAGUAUAUAUAGCUCCAGCGAGGAUAAGAUCCAACUUGUUCACGGUGGUAACUAUUUUAUUUGAACAUACAAUCAUGUAGGCUGUUCUUUAAUUGGCCUCAAAACUCAAUAAUUAAUCAUCUAAUAGGUCUCUAAAGCAAGUUUUUAAUCAGAUACAUACAGUUUAAUCUAUCUUCUUCUUCUGUUUUUUACUAAAAGAUUGUAUUACAUCAUGGUUUGUGAUGUAUCAUGUGAUUGAGAGUACUUUCUGUGAGUCUGUCUCACAUGAAAUGACAAAAUAGGUGACGAGGAAAGCCGAAACCGGAUCGAUAUUUUAGAGAACUGUAACUCGAUCCACUUGUCACACAUGCAUAGAAAUGUAGUCACAACCUGGAUAGUUAUACAAACACAUGUACACUAGGAACUGUACAGAUUGAGAGAGGAUCAGGUAAGAUCGAGGAAUGGAUAGACACGAACAGGAUCCACGUGCUCAGCUUUAGACACUCUUUAUAUCAACAUCUGUCUCCAAAUUACUUAUAACCACUUUUGCUUCUUUUAAGCCCUCGCUCUCUUAUGUUACUCUUCCCUUUCCUCUUCUUUAUCAAAGAUAUUGGUUUGAAUCUUUCAUUUAAAUAAAGAGUUCUUAAAUGGCAACAUAUGCUAGAAGAACAUACGGAUUUGGGAGAGCUGAUGAGGCGACGCACCCGGACUCCAUUAGAGCCACUUUGGCCGAGUUUCUCUCCACUUUCGUCUUUGUCUUUGCUGGAGAAGGCUCCAUCCUCUCUCUAGGUUCGUAGUUCUUUUAGCUAUAUAUGCGUAGGAGUUAUCCAAUAACUUUUAGCCAAUUAGUAUUGCCAUCUUUUCUUACAAAAAUAUUAAUCACAACGUCAGAUAUUUAUUUAUAUCAAACAUUUUUAGAUUUAUCAAGAUUUUUUUUAUUAUUAUUUAUCAAGAUUUUUGUUCUAACAAAGACGGUAGAAAGAAGAAAACAUUUAUCUUAUUCGGUAAUUAAUAUAUUGGUACGAGCAGACAAGUUGUAUUGGGACACUGAGGCUCACACGGGGACAGACACGCCGGGAGGGUUACUUUUGGUGGCGUUAGCUCAUGCAUUGGCACUAUUUGCGGCAGUUUCGGCGGCCAUCAAUGUCUCUGGUGGUCACGUGAACCCUGCGGUUACUUUUGCUGCUCUAAUCGGUGGCAGGCUCUCAGUGAUCCGAGCUAUCUACUAUUGGGUUGCUCAGCUUCUAGGUGCUAUCCUCGCUUGUCUCUUGUUGAGGCUUUCCACUAAUGGCAAGGUAUAUCAUUUCUCAUCGAAUUUUGAAAAUAUAUGCUCCUGAGUCCUGACUGUGACUGUGAUGCAGAGACCAAUAGGGUUCCAUGUAGCGUCUGGAGUCAGUGAGCUUCACGGGCUAUUGAUGGAGAUCAUACUUACAUUCGCAUUGGUUUAUAUCUUCUACUCAACUGUAAUCGAUCCCAAGAGAGGGAGUAUUGGGAUCAUAGCCCCCCUAGCCAUCGGGCUCAUAGUUGGGGCAAACAUGUUGGUAGGAGGACCAUUCGACGGAGCGUCAAUGAAUCCGGCUAGAGCCUUCGGUCCAUCAUUGGUUGGAUGGAGAUGGGAAAACCAUUGGAUAUAUUGGGUUGGGCCCUUCAUUGGAGGUGCACUCGCCGCACUUAUCUAUGAGUACAUGAUCAUCCCCAACGUGAACGAGCCUCCUCGCCAUAGUGUCCACCAACCAUUGGCCCCGGAAGAUUACUAGACCGUACCAAGCUACAUGUCGAAGGUUCUCUCUUUGUAUCAAGAAUCUCUGUUUUGCUUGUGUUGUUGUUUGUAUAUUUGUUUUUUUUUUCUUGCAUGCAACUUUAUAUGUAUAAUUGAGUCCAGACCAGGACAGUAUCUGUGUGUUCUUGUAUCAUAUGUAACUAUUUGAUAAUAAAAAAAUUCGGUAUUUCAUUAAAAAUGGUCAAUUAUGGGAUCAAGACGGAGACAACGAUGGCUUUUCUCUCAGAGUACUGUACACGUAACAGUGCCGGUCGGUUUCUAUAAAUCAGUUUAUGUAUCUGAAACCUGCGAAGGUUUCUUUCUUCUCAUGUUAAGAAGGUCCUCUCAUCUUGUCAACUAUCUGUCUACUCUUUUCCUCCAUGUGACGCCUCUUCUCAUCCAACUUCUCCCCCAUUUUCUUCCCAAGACUCAGCAUCCUUGCUCUCCUUCCCAGUUUCUUUCCCUUUGAAUCAUCGUCUUCGCUUGAAACUACUGACCAAGAUGGUGAUGACUGAACAAAAGUGCUGCCUCUUGAGUUCGUCUCCUGCUUUUCGCUGCUGCUGGGUAGCAGCAAUGGGGUUUUCAGUUCUUCCAGAGAUUUGUCACUCUCUACUGUUUCAGGUCUGGAGGAACUUGACACUGCGGUAGACAUAACCUCUGCUUCUGUAUUCGGUUUCUGGACGGCAUUGGCAGCUUCAUGCACUUGAUCAGACUGAGCACAGGAGGAAGAAGACACAGUCUCCGCUUCAGAAAUAACCGGCUUC
rnacentral:lncRNA from 1 species